rnacentral:lncRNA from 1 species
UAAUCACCCAGAAGGUGUGUCUUAAGUGUCAGGUCCAUAGAAAACUCUGAAGUAAGACUAUUGUAAUGACUUAAAAAUGUUUCAUUUAUUUAUUUAUUUGAAAAGUAGAGUGACAGAGAAAGAAGAGAAGAGACAAAGGCACAGAGAUCUUCCAUCUGCUGGUUCACUCUCCAAAUACCUGCAACAGCCAGGGCUGGGCUAAGCAGAAACCAAGAGAUAAGAACUCUAUACAGGUCUCCCACAUGGGAUAGAGGAACUGAAGUACUUGGGCCAUCAUCUGCUACCAUCUAGGGAAGCUAGAUAAAGUGGAAGAGUCACUCAUAUAUGGAGUGCCAGUGCCCCAUAAGGAUUAGGAUUGGUGCAAAGUUAACCAAUUCAGAAUAUGUGCCAUGGGAAGGAGAGGAGCAAGAGAGAUGUGAACUCCUGGAGAGAUGAUAACAAAGAGGGACAAUGCUCUGAAAGAGGAAAAGAGUGGAAGACUGCAGUAUUUCCCAGAGCCAAUCUGGAUGUAUAUAAUGCUCAAAUGGAUAUGAAGCAGAACAAAUCCUUUGAAUCCAAGAAACAAAAUUCUCGACGUGAUUCUUCUGUAGAGGAGAGACCUGAAUACUUCUUCCAUGUAAGCACCUCAGAAGAUUCCUGUUCUAUGAGACAUGCCUUCUGAUUUACAAAACAGAAAGGAGGGCAUGCAUUUGAAGGAUGAAAAUGAUUGCAGCCACAGCAGUCAAGUACAUGAACACUGUUUCAGAGUUCUGUCAUCUAUCAAGUCAAGCAGUGAUUUUUCAGUUUGUUAGGAUUUUCGUAAGACUGGGUCAGGAAAUGCACAGUUUGGUACCAGUCAAUAAAAGAUUACCAGAGAAAAACA